AGAGGAAACACAUGGUUGUGCCAGCUGCUCAAGAUUGUAGGUCUGAAGCCUACACGCAAGGUAACCCUGCUUGGCCGUUUGGCCCAUGAGGUUGGCUGGAAGUACUUCAGAGCCCUCAGUCGCAUUACUGGAGGACCGUAAGAGGUAUGCUUUCUCAAGUCCAAGAAGGGACAGGCUGCUCUGGAGAGGCUGAAGGUGUCUGACUGCAUCCCCCUCCCCUCCUUAUGAAAAGAGGAAGCACCUGGUUGUGCCAGCUGCUCAAGAUUGUAGGUCUGAAGCCCACAAGUAAGCAAAUAGGAGUUUAAUGACCACGAGUUCACUUCUGCACUACCCGAUGAGGCAAAGCAGCAGCAGCUCUUAUCUUGCCUUACCUGUUCUAUAAAAUUCAGUACAAUGAAAAACCAACCAUAGUUCUCUAUAUUGGUAUUUGAGACUUUUACCAUAUUCUGCCCCAUUUGAACCUUUUUAUACUAAUGUUCUUGCCCUGUAGUUGGUCCUACUUGGCUGUUUGGCCCAUGAGGUUGGCUGGAUGUACCAGCCCAUCCCCAGCAUCCUGGAAUAGAAGGAAAAAGCCAAGAUGUGCUGUCAUACUUUUGUAAUGACAAAAGAUUGCUUUUUAUAUUGCAGUACCACAGUCCUUUUCCAUUAGCUGUACAAGUAUUUUAAAUGACAAUGAACAUGUAGGCACCACCAGGAAGUCGAGGUUACAACAGGAGAACAGUCAUUUGAGGGUAAAAUAACAAAUGUAAAUAUGACUAGGGCUGUUUGACAGAUCUAGACCUUAUUUCAUAAACUGUACCACACAGAUUUUCAAACUCUUGACUUGUAGAUGCAUUUUUAGUGAGCAGUAAAAUCUCAAACACUGAAAUCUGUGGUUUUUAUAUGGUACUUCUGUAGUGUUUUUGUUUUUCUGGUUAAACAUGUCUCAAACAUGAAGUGUUGUCUGAUCAAUAUUAAAUUUACAUUUGGGCCAACCAAAUCAUUCUGA